UACGGAGGGGACUAGCGUUGUUCGGAAUUACUGGGCGUAAAGCGCACGUAGGCGGAUUUGUAAGUCAGGGGUGAAAUCCCGGGGCUCAACCUCGGAAUUGCCUUUGAUACUGCAAAUCUCGAGUCCGGAAGAGGUGAGUGGAAUUCCUAGUGUAGAGGUGAAAUUCGUAGAUAUUAGGAAGAACACCAGUGGCGAAGGCGGCUCACUGGUCCGGUACUGACGCUGAGGUGCGAAAGCGUGGGGAGCAAACAGG
rnacentral:rRNA from 1 species